rnacentral:rRNA from 1 species
GAUGAACGCUGGCGGCGUGCCUAAUACAUGCAAGUCGAGCGAACGGACGAGAAGCUUGCUUCUCUGAUGUUAGCGGCGGACGGGUGAGUAACACGUGGAUAACCUACCUAUAAGACUGGGAUAACUUCGGGAAACCGGAGCUAAUACCGGAUAAUAUUUUGAACCGCAUGGUUCAAAAGUGAAAGACGGUCUUGCUGUCACUUAUAGAUGGAUCCGCGCUGCAUUAGCUAGUUGGUAAGGUAACGGCUUACCAAGGCAACGAUGCAUAGCCGACCUGAGAGGGUGAUCGGCCACACUGGAACUGAGACACGGUCCAGACUCCUACGGGAGGCAGCAGUAGGGAAUCUUCCGCAAUGGGCGAAAGCCUGACGGAGCAACGCCGCGUGAGUGAUGAAGGUCUUCGGAUCGUAAAACUCUGUUAUUAGGGAAGAACAUAUGUGUAAGUAACUGUGCACAUCUUGACGGUACCUAAUCAGAAAGCCACGGCUAACUACGUGCCAGCAGCCGCGGUAAUACGUAGGUGGCAAGCGUUAUCCGGAAUUAUUGGGCGUAAAGCGCGCGUAGGCGGUUUUUUAAGUCUGAUGUGAAAGCCCACGGCUCAACCGUGGAGGGUCAUUGGAAACUGGAAAACUUGAGUGCAGAAGAGGAAAGUGGAAUUCCAUGUGUAGCGGUGAAAUGCGCAGAGAUAUGGAGGAACACCAGUGGCGAAGGCGACUUUCUGGUCUGUAACUGACGCUGAUGUGCGAAAGCGUGGGGAUCAAACAGGAUUAGAUACCCUGGUAGUCCACGCCGUAAACGAUGAGUGCUAAGUGUUAGGGGGUUUCCGCCCCUUAGUGCUGCAGCUAACGCAUUAAGCACUCCGCCUGGGGAGUACGACCGCAAGGUUGAAACUCAAAGGAAUUGACGGGGACCCGCACAAGCGGUGGAGCAUGUGGUUUAAUUCGAAGCAACGCGAAGAACCUUACCAAAUCUUGACAUCCUUUGACAACUCUAGAGAUAGAGCCUUCCCCUUCGGGGGACAAAGUGACAGGUGGUGCAUGGUUGUCGUCAGCUCGUGUCGUGAGAUGUUGGGUUAAGUCCCGCAACGAGCGCAACCCUUAAGCUUAGUUGCCAUCAUUAAGUUGGGCACUCUAAGUUGACUGCCGGUGACAAACCGGAGGAAGGUGGGGAUAACGUCAAAUCAUCAUGCCCCUUAUGAUUUGGGCUACACACGUGCUACAAUGGACAAUACAAAGGGCAGCGAAACCGCGAGGUCAAGCAAAUCCCAUAAAGUUGUUCUCAGUUCGGAUUGUAGUCUGCAACUCGACUACAUGAAGCUGGAAUCGCUAGUAAUCGUAGAUCAGCAUGCUACGGUGAAUACGUUCCCGGGUCU